rnacentral:rRNA from 1 species
CGUGAGUGAAGAAGGCCUUCGGGUCGUAAAGCUCUGUCAAGUGGGAAAAAAUACCUAAGGUAAAUAGCCUUGGGUCUUGAUGGUACCACUGGAGGAAGCACCGGCUAACUCCGUGCCAGCAGCCGCGGUAAUACGGAGGGUGCAAGCGUUGAUCGGAAUUAUUGGGCGUAAAGAGCGUGUAGGCGGUAUGGUAAGUCAGAUGUGAAAGCCCUGGGCUCAACUCAGGAAGUGCAUUUGAUACUGCUAUACUUGAGUAUGGGAGAGGAGAGUGGAAUUCCCAGUGUAGAGGUGAAAUUCGUAGAUAUUGGGAGGAACACCCGUGGCGAAGGCGGCUCUCUGGACCAAUACUGACGCUGAGACGCGAAAGCGUGGGGAGCAAACAGGAUUAGAUACCCUGGUAGUCCACGCCGUAAACGAUGAGAACUAGGUGUAGCGGGUAUUGACCCCUGCUGUGCCGAAGUUAACGCAUUAA